UACGGGGGGAGCAAGCGUUGUUCGGAUUUACUGGGCGUAAAGGGCGCGUAGGCGGCCAGUGCAAGUCAGUUGUGAAAUCUCCGAGCUUAACUCGGAAAGGUCAACUGAUACUGCUCGGCUAGAGUGCGGAAGGGGCAACUGGAAUUCUUGGUGUAGCGGUGAAAUGCGUAGAUAUCAGGAGGAACACCGGUGGCGAAGGCGGCUACCUGGACAGAAACUGACGCUGAGGCGCGAAAGCGUGGGGAGCGAACAGG
rnacentral:rRNA from 1 species